rnacentral:rRNA from 1 species
GAUGAACGCUGGCGGCGUGCCUAAUACAUGCAAGUCGAGCGAACAGACGAGGAGCUUGCUCCUCUGACGUUAGCGGCGGACGGGUGAGUAACACGUGGAUAACCUACCUAUAAGACUGGGAUAACUUCGGGAAACCGGAGCUAAUACCAGAUAAUAUAUUGAACCGCAUGGUUCAAUAGUGAAAGACGGUUUUGCUGUCACUUAUAGAUGGAUCCGCGCCGCAUUAGCUAGUUGGUAAGGUAACGGCUUACCAAGGCAACGAUGCGUAGCCGACCUGAGAGGGUGAUCGGCCACACUGGAACUGAGACACGGUCCAGACUCCUACGGGAGGCAGCAGUAGGGAAUCUUCCGCAAUGGGCGAAAGCCUGACGGAGCAACGCCGCGUGAGUGAUGAAGGUCUUCGGAUCGUAAAACUCUGUUAUUAGGGAAGAACAAAUGUGUAAGUAACUAUGCACGUCUUGACGGUACCUAAUCAGAAAGCCACGGCUAACUACGU